rnacentral:rRNA from 1 species
UACACUCCUACGGGAGACAGCAGUGGGGAAUAUUGCACAAUGGGCGCAAGCCUGAUGCAGCCAUGCCGCGUGUAUGAAGAAGGCCUUCGGGUUGUAAAGUACUUUCAGCGGGGAGGAAGGCGAUAAGGUUAAUAACCUUGUUGAUUGACGUUACCCGCAGAAGAAGCACCGGCUAACUCCGUGCCAGCAGCCGCGGUAAUACGGAGGGUGCAAGCGUUAAUCGGAAUUACUGGGCGUAAAGCGCACGCAGGCGGUCUGUCAAGUCGGAUGUGAAAUCCCCGGGCUCAACCUGGGAACUGCAUUCGAAACUGGCAGGCUAGAGUCUUGUAGAGGGGGGUAGAAUUCCAGGUGUAGCGGUGAAAUGCGUAGAGAUCUGGAGGAAUACCGGUGGCGAAGGCGGCCCCCUGGACAAAGACUGACGCUCAGGUGCGAAAGCGUGGGGAGCAAACAGGAUUAGAUACCCCGGUAGUCCCA